rnacentral:rRNA from 1 species
AUUGAACGCUGGCGGCAUGCCUUACACAUGCAAGUCGAACGGCAGCAUGGGUGCUUGCACCUGAUGGCGAGUGGCGAACGGGUGAGUAAUGCAUCGGAACGUACCCGGAAGUGGGGGAUAACGUAGCGAAAGUUACGCUAAUACCGCAUAUUCUGUGAGCAGGAAAGCGGGGGAUCGCAAGACCUCGCGCUUCCGGAGCGGCCGAUGUCGGAUUAGCUAGUUGGCGGGGUAAAGGCCCACCAAGGCAACGAUCCGUAGCGGGUCUGAGAGGCUGAUCCUACAUACUGGGACUGAAACACGGCCCGGAGGCCUACGGGAGGGAGCAGUGUGGAAUUUUGGAGAAUGGGGGGAACCCUGGUCCAGCCAUGCCGCGUGAGUGAAGAGGGCCUUCGGGUUGUAAAGCUCUUUCGGCUGGGAAGAAAUCGCAUCUCCUAAUACGGGGUGUGGAUGACGGUACCAGCAUAAGAAGCACCGGCUAACUACGUGCCAGCAGCCGCGGUAA